UGAUCUGCCUGCCUUGGCCUCCUAAAGUGCUGGGAUUACAGGCUUGAGCCACCGCUCAUGGCCAUGAAUGGAUUGCUUUUGAAUGUGGCCAAUGCACAGAUUAUUUAAGGAUCAAUUCAGAGAAGUAGGAUUAGUGGGUUAAUGAUCACAACAUCAUUUUAAGCUCUGUACUAGGAAUUGGUACACCAGCAUUUCCUCUCCUGACAAGCAAGUGUGUACAGCAGCUCCGCGAGGUUCUGUGUGGCGUCUCGGGAAAGUGGUCCAGUGACAGUGGACACCUGGGGAAGAACGAAGCUCACCAGGGCCCGGGAA